CUUCAAGUAGUGUCGCGCCCACUGAUGUUAGUAGAUUCUGAAGACAAAAUCUAGCUCAACAAGAAGUCGGCUGAAGAAGAAGAUUUGAAGUAAUUUAAAUCUUAAAGGGAAGUAGCAGAGUGAUAUGAGACUACAAGACACAUAUACAAUAUCAUUAUAUUCACCAGAUAAAAAUCGUGUUUUCCAUCUAAAAUGACUCCAUAGUAAUGAGCACUGCUUGGGCUAUCCUAAAGUCUGGAAGUUCAAUUAUCAAGAGUAGCCUCAUUAUGAAAAGAUGCUGAAGGAUAGCACUAUCUUCAAAUGUUCUCUCCUAGAAUCCAACUAUUUUGGGGGCCAGGAUUGGAUAACUUUGUUUUAAGUGAGUCUCCUAAGCCUAGUAUACAAACAUAUCAAACCAUCCAGACCAUUUGAUCCACAAAUUACCUUCCAAACAAACUGUCACAAGCUUCUACCAUACAU
rnacentral:misc_RNA from 1 species